AUGGACAUCACGGCGGGGGUCAUGGGUUCCUCCGUCCUGUCCAAGCUCGGCAAGCUGCUCAUGGAGGAGUGCAACCUGCCAUCCGGCGCCAAGGAAGACCUCAAGUAUGUUGCAGAAGAGCAGAGGCGCCUGCAAGCUUACUUCUGCAGUAUGACAGAUGCGCCGCCAGACCAGCUCGAUAAGUUUGAUCGGGGUUGGUUAUCCAAAAUCAGCGAGGCGUUCUGCAAGAGUGAGAACAUCGUCGACAUCCUGACGGCUGAGUGCUCUAAACCAGCCGCUAACCCGGGUGUCUGCAGGCGGCUCUUUACAAGGACCAGAGAUUCACUGAAUCCUCCUCAUCAAGAUCCUAAAGAUCUGAUUGCCCGUAUCAAAGAGAUAACAUUGCAUGUCCUGGACGUGUUUGCCACACAUAAACAUCUUGACGGUUGCCUACGGCCGUUGUACAAAGAUGAGAAAGACCUCGUCUGCAUCGACGGACCAAAAGAUGUGUUAAUCAAGAUGUUGACAGAGGGAGAUGACAUGUCGUCAAUGAAUCAACAGAAAAUAGUCUCCAUUGUAGGCCUUGGGGGAUUGGGCAAGACAACUCUUGCCCAUGUUGUGUACCAUCGGCUUAAACCACAGUUUGAUUGUGUGGCUUUUGUUAGGGUCCCCCUUAAACCCGACAUGGUGGGAUUGUUCACGGAGAUGCUCUAUCAACUGGAUGUGAAAAAUCAUAUAAACAUCAAUGAAGAAGCAAUGAAUAAUAGACAGCCUGUUUCUCUAAUUAGAGAAUUUCUUCUGAACAAGAGGUACCUGAUCGUAAUUGAUGAUUUAUGGAACGAAGAUGAUUGGCAUAGCAUCUCAUCUAGCUUGCCCAGUAAUGACAAGGGUAGCAGAGUAAUUACUACUACUCGUGUUAAUGGUAUAGCUAACUUGUGUUGCUCAGGCGGUAAUGAGUCAACGUAUGAAGUUCAGUGUCUUGGAUACCAAAAUUCCAGAGAGUUGUUUUUGAAGCAUUAUUUUCGCCAUGGCAGUUGGCCUGAUGCAGAUACAGACAUUUUUGAUGAUAUCAUUAGGAUGUGCAGUGGUACGCCUUCAGCAAUAAUAAGUAUUGCUUCGUUACUCGCAACCAAAGUAACCGCACAAAAGCCAUGGCAGGAGAUGAUGAAUUACUUACAUUGUUCUUCGAAGCAGAUGCCAAGUUCUUUAGGUUUUAAAUCUGAGAAUAUUCCUGGUUUUGAAGACUUGAGAGAUAUUCUGUCACUUAUCUACGCCCACCUUCCCAGCCCUCUCAAGGACUGUUUGCUCUACUUAGCAGUACAUGCUAAGAACCAAAUAAUUCAUAGGACUACUAUGGUUAGGAAAUGGAUUUCUGAAGGAUUUAUCUCUGAAAAUGCGAGGCAUAGUCGAGAGGAAGUAGCAAGCGGGUACUUUGAUGAGCUCAUCAGCAGAAGUUUCAUCCGGCUGUCAGAAUAUGAUAACUAUUCAAGGGAAGAGAUGUAUGAAGUGAAUAGUAUGGUGCUUUAUGUUCUUAGGCAAAUAUCAGACAAAGAACAUUUUGCUACCAUCUUGUCUGGCGUUGGUAUUUCAAGGGAUUAUGCUCAUUAUUUCCGUUUGUCAGUCCAGUGUUCUGGUACAGAACUUCCAGUGAUGGAUUCAUCUCGCAUUCGUUCCAUAACUAUUGCUGGACCUGCAAAGAUUUAUUUAAACCAUGAUUGGGUGUAUCUACGGGUGUUGGAUCUAGAUGGCUACAAGGAUUUGCAAAACUCUGAUGUGGAUCAUAUAUGCCGAAUGACCCUGUUGAAGUACUUGAGUCUCAAGCAUACUCCAGUCACGAUAAUCCCUCCAAAAAUCAGGGGACUACACUCUCUGGAGACUCUGGAUUUAGGGCACACUGAAAUCAGUAAUCUCCCACCAGAAAUUGGGCAACUGCAAAAUCUGAAGACUCUCGAUGCAGGCGGCAUAAAAAUCAGUUGUCUCCCGCCAGAAAUUGGAAAACUUCGAAAUCUGGAGACCCUGGAUGUAAGACAGACAAAAGUGAAAGAGCUGCCUAAGGAACUUGUUCGUCUUCCCAAACUAGCCUAUCUUUAUUUUGGAGAUUGUAAUUCUGCUCGAGGAGUAAAGUUACCUGUCGGAAGUGACCAGUUGAAGUCAGUGAAGGUGCUUGGUACUGUUGAUUCAAGAGAAUGUUCUGGAAAUGCCAUGGAGGAGAUUAGUGGACUGACAAGACUAAGGGAGAUUGAAGUAAUGUUGUAUGAUCAGCCUGCCGACAUGGUACAGAAUGAUAAGUUAAUGUCUUCCAUUGGCAAGUGCGUGAAUCUUGAAUAUCUGAUUAUUUAUGGUGACUACAGCCCAAGCGACGAACUUCCUGUAUCCCCCUAUUUUCGUUCACUUGAGAGAUUGAAAGUGGCAGGAAGAUUUAUGAAAGUUCCCCGGUGGCUUGCAGAGCUUACCAUGCUCAGGAAGCUUGAUAUCAGAGUCUGUCAGCUAGACCAAGAUGAUCUUAAAAUACUUGGAGCCCUGCCAUCCUUGAGCACUCUCGCACUUGAACUGAUUUGCAUUAUUUUGAAGAAAGAUGUAACUAUCACGAGCAAGUUGCAUCCUGAGGAAGAAACAAUUCCAGAAGAUUGUUUCCCGAAGCUCGAGGUUUUCAGUUUCGAUUGUCAUGUGCCAUGGAUCACCUUUCAGCAGGGAGCUAUGUCGACACUGAAACACUUCCACUUGAAGCUCUAUGCUUGCCCAGAUUAUAAAUUUCCUUCAGGCAUCAUCAACCUUCCUAGUCUUGAGAAGAUUAGCCUCCGGUACUCUUCAGAUCAUGCAAUCAGUGGCAGUAUCACGAAAGCAGUUGCUACCAUAAGAGAACAGGCUGCCACACAUGGUAAGCCGAUAAGGUUUUCUGUCAAUGGCGAUUCUGAGGUUGUGAGAGGAGGUUGGGGGAAUGAAUACAUUUUCCCAUCCAGAUAUUAUUUCCCAUGGAUGUGGUUAUGGGCUCCUAGAGAAACAGCAAGGUUCAGGCAAAACAAUAGUUGA
rnacentral:rRNA from 1 species